GGUCAGCUGACCAGAAGGGGCAGGGCCUGGCUCCCUUAUAAACCUAAGGAGCUGAGGCCAGAGGCAGUUCCUUGCCAGCAGCUAAAGAGGAAGGAGCUUCCUUAGCAAAGAUGUGAGGAGAAGCCUGACCGCAGAUAGACAAAGUGAGAAUAUCUAAGUAACCACUGAUGGUCAGACCUUGUCUUCAGACCCAGUGCACCAUGGGUAGAAGGAUAGGUACUUCUAAGAUGGAGCAUCCCAACAAGCAAUUAACAGGAAGAUAAGGAAGAGCAAAUGCUGAAGCUAAAGGAGGAUUCACUUGCAGUGAAUUUAAAUUCUAAGACCACCCUUAAGAACAAAAAAGAGCAGACAAGACUCAGAGCAGCCAGAUGACAUGCUCAACUGGCACCCAUCUCACUUUACCUUGUGAUGUUGAUGCUUCCGAUGAAAAGGCACAUGAU